rnacentral:tRNA from 1 species
GCGGAUGUGGUGAAAUGGCAGACACGCCAGAUUUAGGAUCUGGUGCCUUCGGCGUGCAGGUUCAAGUCCUGUCAUCCGCA